rnacentral:rRNA from 1 species
GGACCCGCACAAGCGGUGGAACAUGUGGUUCAAUUCGAUGCUACGCGAAAAACCUCACCAGGGUUUGACAUACAGGAAGUAGUGAACUGAAAAGGGAUCGACCUGUCAAAUCAGGAGCCUGAACAGGUGCUGCAUGGCUGUCGUCAGCUCGUGUCGUGAGAUGUUGGGUUAAGUCCCGCAACGAGCGCAACCAUUAUCUUUAGUUGCUACCUGUAUUCAACGUAAGUUGGGUGCAGGGCACUCUAAAGAGACUGCCUGGGUUAACCAGGAGGAAGGUGGAGAUGACGUCAAGUCAGUACGGCCUUUAUGCCCUGGGCUACACACGUGUUACAAUGGCCAGUACAAAGGGUUGCCAACCCGCAAGGGGGAGCUAAUCUCAAAAAAUUGGCCUCAGUUCGGAUUGAAGUCUGCAAUUCGACUUCAUGAAGCCGGAAUCGCUAGUAAUGGCAGAUCAGCACGCUGCCGUGAAUACGUUCCCGGGUCUU